rnacentral:rRNA from 1 species
UACGAAGGGGGCUAGCGUUGCUCGGAAUCACUGGGCGUAAAGGGUGCGUAGGCGGGUUUCUAAGUCAGAGGUGAAAGCCUGGAGCUCAACUCCAGAACUGCCUUUGAUACUGGAAGUCUUGAGUUCGGGAGAGGUGAGUGGAACUGCGAGUGUAGAGGUGAAAUUCGUAGAUAUUCGCAAGAACACCAGUGGCGAAGGCGGCUCACUGGCCCGAUACUGACGCUGUGGCACGAAAGCGUGGGGAGCAAACAGG